CACGUAGGGUGCGAGCGUUGUCCGGAAUUAUUGGGCGUAAAGAGCUCGUAGGCGGUGUGUCGCGUCGGCCGUGAAAACCUGCAGCUUAACUGUGGGCGUGCGGUCGAUACGGGCAUCACUGGAGUUCGGCAGGGGAGACUGGAAUUCCGGGUGUAGCGGUGAAAUGCGCAGAUAUCAGGAGGAACACCGGUGGCGAAGGCGGUUCUCUGGGCCUGUACUGACGCUGAGGAGCGAAAGCGUGGGGAGCGAACAGG
rnacentral:rRNA from 1 species